rnacentral:rRNA from 1 species
AGCGAACGUUAGCGGCGCGCCUAACACAUGCAAGUCGCACGAGAAAGGGCUUCGGCCCCGGUAAAGUGGCGCACGGGUGAGUAACACGUGGGCAACCUGCCCAACCCUGGGGGAUAACCUGCCGAAAGGCGGGCUAAUACCGCGUACGAGGAUUCGACCUCGGUCGGAUUCUGAAAGCAGGCCUCUGUAUACAAGCUUUCGUGGUUGGAUGGGCCCGCGCUCCAUCAGCUAGUUGGGGAGGUAACGGCUCACCAAGGCUACGACGGAUAGCUGGGCUGAGAGGAUGAUCAGCCACACUGGAACUGAGACACGGUCCAGACUCCUACGGGAGGCAGCAGUGGGGAAUCUUGCGCAAUGGACGAAAGUCUGACGCAGCGACGCCGCGUGGGUGACGAAGGCCUUCGGGUUGUAAAGCCCUGUGGGGUGAGACGAACAGCUGGGGUUCAAAUAGGGCCUUGGUCUGACGGUAUCACCUUAGCAAGCACCGGCUAACUCUGUGCCAGCCGCCGCCCGUAACAC